GCCAUCCCAGUUCGGAUUGCAGGCUGAAACCCGCCUGUAUGAAGUUGGAAUCGCUAGUAAUCGCGGAUCAGCAUGCCGCGGUGAAUACGUUCCCGGGCCUUGUACACACCGCCCGUCACACCAUGAGAGUCGGGAACACCCGAAGUCCGUAGUCUAACCGCAAGGGGGACGCGGCCGAAGGUGGGUUCGAUAAUUGGGGUGAAGUCGUAACAAGGUAAC
rnacentral:rRNA from 1 species